rnacentral:rRNA from 1 species
GAUUGAACGCUGGCGGAAUGCUUUACACAUGCAAGUCGAACGGCAGCACGGGGCAACCUGGUGGCGAGUGGCGAACGGGUGAGUAAUACAUCGGAACGUGCCCAGUCGUGGGGGAUAACGUAGCGAAAGCUACGCUAAUACCGCAUACGAUCUACGGAUGAAAGCGGGGGAUCGCAAGACCUCGCGCGAUUGGAGCGGCCGAUAUCAGAUUAGCUAGUUGGUGGGGUAAAAGCUCACCAAGGCGACGAUCUGUAGCUGGUCUGAGAGGACGACCAGCCACACUGGAACUGAGACACGGUCCAGACUCCUACGGGAGGCAGCAGUGGGGAAUUUUGGACAAUGGGCGCAAGCCUGAUCCAGCAAUGCCGCGUGCAGGAUGAAGGCCUUCGGGUUGUAAACUGCUUUUGUACGGAACGAAACGGUGAGCUCUAAUAAAGCUUGCUAAUGACGGUACCGUAAGAAUAAGCACCGGCUAACUACGUG